rnacentral:rRNA from 1 species
UACGUAGGGGGCGAGCGUUGUCCGGAGUUACUGGGCGUAAAGCGCACGCAGGCGGUCUGUUAAGUUUGGAGUGACAGUUGGUGGCUUAACUGCCAAAGUGCUUCGAAAACUGACAGACUUGAGGGCUUCAGAGGGACACGGAAUUCCGAGUGUAGAGGUGAAAUUCGUAGAUAUUCGGAAGAACACCAGUGGCGAAGGCGGCUCACUGGACUGGUAUUGACGCUGAGGUGCGAAAGCGUGGGGAGCAAACAGG